AGAGUUUGAUCAUGGCUCAGAAUCAACGCUGGCGGCGCGCCUAACACAUGCAAGUCGAACGAGAAAGCGGGAGCAAUCUCGCAAGUACAGUGGCGUACGGGUGAGUAACACGUGGAUCAUCUGCCCUGGAGUGGGGAAUAACGCUGGGAAACCGGCGCUAAUACCGCAUAUUCCCGAGAGGGGAAAGCAGCAAUGCGCUCGAGGAGGAGUCCGCGGCCGAUUAGCUAGUUGGCAGGGUAAAAGCCUACCAAGGCUAUGAUCGGUAGCCGGCCUGAGAGGGCACACGGCCACACUGGCACUGAAACACGGGCCAGACUCCUACGGGAGGCAGCAGUGGGGAAUCUUGCACAAUGGGGGAAACCCUGAUGCAGCGACGCCGCGUGAGCGAUGAAGCCCUUCGGGGUGUAAAGCUCUUUCGGCAGGGAAGAUUAUGACGGUACCUGCAGAAGCAGCUGCGGCUAACUACGUGCCAGCAGCCGCGGUAAUACGUAGGCAGCAAGCGUUGUUCGGAGUUACUGGGCGUAAAGGGUGUGUAGGCGGCCUGUUAAGUUCCGUGUGAAAUCUCCCGGCUCAACCGGGAGGGUGCGCGGAAAACUGGCGGGCUAGAGUACGGGAUGGGAGAGUAGAAUUCCUGGUGUAGCGGUGAAAUGCGUAGAUAUCAGGAGGAAUACCUGUGGUGUAGACGGCUCUCUGGACCGUAACUGACGCUGAAACACGAAAGCGUGGGUAGCAAACGGGAUUAGAUACCCUAGUAGUCC
rnacentral:rRNA from 1 species